rnacentral:rRNA from 1 species
AUUGAACGCUGGCGGCAGGCUUAACACAUGCAAGUCGAGCGAGCGGCGGACGGGUGAGUAAUGUCUGGGAAACUGCCUGAUGAAGGGGGAUAACUACUGGAAACGGUAGCUAAUACCGCAUACCAUCGGAUGUGCCCAGAUGGGAUUGGCUAGUAGGUGGGGUAAAGGCGUACCUAGGCGACGAUCCCUAGCUGGUCUUAGAGGAUGACCAGCCACAUUGGAACUGAGACAGGGUCCAGGCUCCUACGGGGGGCAGCAGUGGGGAAGAGUGCACAAUGGGCGCAAGCCUGAUGCAGCCAUGCCGCGUGUAUGAAGAAGGCCUUCGGGUUGUAAAGUACUUUCAGCGGGGAGGAGUUACCCGCAGAAGAAGCACCGGCUAACUCCGUGCCAGCAGCCGCGGUAAUUC